rnacentral:lncRNA from 1 species
UUACAUUAGCUAAUUAGCCGGAGAAGCUGAUUACAGCAGCUGAUUGUAGUAGUUUAUUGCUUAACGAUUGCUUUCUACUCUUUUCAGUUGUAAAUUUGAACAAUGGCACAACGAGACUCACAAGACAAAGACAUUGGUAUGGGGGAUUCUAAUGAUGCUCAAACUCAAACUCAAGCAAGCUCAAAGAAAAAAAGAAAGAGCAUGAAAGAGAGGUUAGAAGUAUGGGACCAUUUCACCAAAUUUACGGAUGCGGAAGGGUGUUUGAGAGCUAGGUGCAACUAUUGUGAGAAGGUAUAUUACUCCGAUCCUAGUACUAAUGGCACUAGUGCACUUUCAAAGCAUCUUAAAUCUUGUAAGAAACUCCCUCUUAGUGGUGAAUCGAAACAAACCCAAUUGUCUAUGCAUUCGGUAGGAGGAAAUGAGGGCAUUCUUAAAAAGUGGCAUUUUGAUCAAAAAGCAUCUAGACAUAAGUUAGCCGCCAUGAUCAUAAUAGAUGAACUUCCAUUUAGAUUUGUUGAGGGUGAGGGGUUUAAGGACUUUAUGAACACCACUCAACCCCUUUUUAAGAUGCCAUCUCGUUUUACAAUUGCACGAGAUUGUUAUCAAAUCUAUUUGGAUGAAAAGAAAAAGUUGACCACAUAUUUUAAGUUGUCGGGUCAAAGGGUUUGUAUUACCACGGAUACUUGGACUUCAAUUCAAAAGAUUAAUUAUAUGUGCAUCACGGCUCACUACAUUGAUCAAAAUUGGAUUUUGCACAAGAAAAUAAUUAACUUUUGUCAAAUAGAGGGUCAUAAAGGUGAGCUUUUAGCUAGGGAUCUUGAUAUGUAUUUGAAGGAAUGGGGUAUUUCAAAAGUUUUUGCAAUUACGGUUGAUAAUGCAAGUUCAAAUUAUACUUGCAUUGAAUUAUUGAAAGAUAGGUUGUCUACAAGGGGGGCUGAUUUUUUGAAUGGGAAAUACAUGCACAUGAGAUGUAUAGCGCAUAUUAUUAAUUUGAUUGUGAAUGGUGGACUUCUUGAUAUGAAAGCAUCAAUCAAAAGAGUGAGAAAGGCGGUUAGAUUUGUGAAUCAAUCUCCGGCUAGACUAGCCAAGUUUAAGGAGUGUGUUGACUUACAAAAUAUUGCAAGAUGGAACUCCACUUACUUGAUGCUAAAUGUUGCCCAAAAACUUCAAAAAGCUUUUGAACUAUUUGAAAGGAUGGAUCCUUAUUUUGUACAUGAGCUUAAUGAUCAAGGGGGGUGCCUACAUCUUGGGAUUGGGGUGAUGUUAAGAGGUUGGUUGACAUGUUGGUUCAUUUUUAUGAACUAACUUUGAGAAUAUCGGGCUCUUUAUAUGUUACAUCCAAUAUAUUCAAUCAUGAGAUUAACACGGUUAAUUUAAUAUUGAAAGAAUGGAUGAAUAGUGAUGAUGUUGAUGUGAGAUUUAUCGGUCAAAAAAUGAAAGAGAAAUAUGACAAGUAUUGGGGUGAUGUGAAUAAAAUGAACAAACUCAUCUAUGUGGCGGUUGUUGUUGAUCCUAGAUACAAGUUAGAGUUUCUUGAGUUCGCACUUGUUGAAGAAUAUGGAAAUGAAAUCGGUUGGAAGUUGGCCAAUGACACAAAAGUAGUGGUGAAAGAGUUGUUUGCAGAGUAUAAAAAGACUUGUCAACCUAAAAUUUCUCAAACUCAAGUGGAUCAAGGUCAAUCUUCAAAUAAAUCUUCAAGUGUAUCUUCAAGAAAACAAUCGGCAUUAGGUGAGAGAUUUAUGAGACAAAAAAUGGAGAGUGGAGAAGUUGAAUCCAAGUGUGAGUUGGAUGUUUAUUUUAAAGAGAGUGUAUAUGUUACUUAAAAUGAUGAGUUUGAUAUUUUGAAAUGGUGGAAAGUUAAUUCAAGUAGGUUCCCAAUACUCUUACAACUUGCGCGUGAUGUGCUUGCAAUCCCUAUCUCAAACGUAGCAUCGGAGUCCGCUUUUAGUGCGGGUGGAAGAGUACUUGAUCCUUAUAGAAGUUCUUUGUCACCCAAAGUAGUGGAAGGCUUACUUUGUGCUCAAGAUUGGUUGAGAUCAUAUAAACGCCCAAAGACAAUUGAAGAAGAUUUUGAUGAUGUAGAAAAAUUUGAAGAAGGUAUUUUAAUUCUGAAAUUUUAAAUUUAAGUUGUCGUUAAUUUGCAUGUGUAUUUUGAUCGAGUUUUUGUGCUCUUUUUUUGUGCAGCCUUCUGUGCUCUCAGUCUCAGCUUAAAUAAGGAUGGGGAAAGUGCACCUAUAGACCUGGAUAUCGACAAUUAGGUGUGUUAAUCUCCACCCCUGUUCUUAUUCUAUAAUGAGUGCAUUUUUGGUUUUUAAAAUUGACAGCAACAGUAUAUAUUAUGUGGCAACUGCAGUAUAUAUUAAGCCUAUUGCAACACACUGUUGAGAUUAUUGCGCUGUCUUUUGAUAUUUUGUUAAAACUUCUUGUUUGUUGCACGAUUACAGGCUGCAUUCAUUGUACUACUUUAGUCCCUUCUGCAAUGAAACUCAUACAACUCAAAGCUGAACUAGAUAAUGCUAGUGCACUUCUUGCUUUGCUUUGAUCAGAUGGACAGGAGAUUUGAUCCCAGUCUAGUCAAAUAUUAACAAUUUGAUUCGAUAAAAUGCUAACAUGAAUUUUUUAUGAUGCUAUAAAGAGCUGUUUUGGAUAUAAGUAAUUAAUUUUAAUUGAUGUUACUGAAAUUAUCUAUUGGUAUAUAUCUAUUGGUGUGCUUGAACAUGUUAACAUAGACAUUUAGGCCUUGUAUUGCAGCUGAUCUUUUUUAUGAUUAUAUAUUGCUUGCAUGUCCAUGGCUCUGCUGUUGGAAUUUUAAUGUAUUUAGUUUGCCAUGGGAAGACCCAGAAGGAUGGGAGUAUGGGACUGAUAUGGUGAUCAGUGUAGAUACAUGUUUAGAGUAAAUAGAAUAAAGUGGACCUAUACAUUAGGGGCAGUUUAUCGAGUCAUGAGCUCAUAGAAGAAAAAAAAAAUACUAUUUGUGUCCUCUCUGUUUCUCAGAUCAUCAAAGCACCUUAUUUCCAUUAUAUUGUUUGUGCAGAUGAGGGACAUAGACAUUUAGGCCUAGACAGAGACAUUUAGGCCUUGUAUUGCAGCUGAUCUUUUUUAUGAUUAUAUAUUGCUUGCUGGUGCAUGGCUCUACUGUUGGAAUUUUAAUGGGUUUGCUUGGAUUUGUUUUGUUCUUGUAGGCCGUAGCAUAUUGGAGCAAAGUGGAAGUACGCAUUGCUUGCAAAGUUGCACAUCAACGGGACAAUAGCCAUCAGGAGUUUGGACUUCAGUUUCAUUUUAGUUUUUUGUUUCUGAACUAGCUAAUUAAACUACCACUCACUGUGAUGAUUUUAAGUUAUGUAAUGUAACAGACAUUUGUUUGAGAGACAUUCAAGAGCUUCAGCAUUAAUGCAGUAUUAGUUUUUCUUUUUUUGGCUGAAAAAUUUCGGUUCUGCUUGAAAGAACCGAACCGAACCGAAGUAUUUUGGUUCGGUUCCGGUUCGGUCCAUAUAUUCAAUUCGGUUCGGUUCGGUCCGGGAAAAAAUGUCAUUUCGGUUCUCGGUUCUUUCGGUUCGGUACCGAACCGACCGAAUGUUCAGCCCUAUAUGUAUUGUAUGUGUGUAUAUAUAUAUAUAUAUAUAUAUAUAUAUAUAUAUUUAUAAGUGUAGAAUUAAAGAUAACAAAAAAGAUAACUACGAACAUGUCUACGAGGGGUCAAAGUUAACAAUUAAAAUCAUAUAUCAAACAAAUUUAAACCGCUGAGCAACUUAAACGAUGAAGAUAUUGUUAGUAUUGGUGUCCUAGAGACAAUACUAUUGUAUUCUAUCAUAGAUAUUUAUGGAUUAUGUUAUAUUGAUUAUGGAAUAAAUAUUUAAUGUGUCUUUAUUUACUGCGUAAUAAAUUGAAAGCAUAAUAAAUGUCCUUGGAAUAUUAUAUGUAAUUCUAUAUCUCUAAGUACGUGACUUGGAAAUGAGAUUAUGAGAAUAAUAUCAAUAUUCCUAAAUGUCCCUAGUCGAGUAUUAUUGUUAAGGGACAAUAAUGAUGCAUUGAGACUAGUAUGUUUGUUGACUGAUGAUCACAUCUCAUUGAUCAUAGGUAUAGUGAUGCUAAAGUCAAGAACAUAAGUGCAUGUAUCGACACAUGGCACUGGAUACAUUGGGUAUAUUAUGAAUCAAUUGAGUGAGACUAUAAAAUGCAUGGCCGUGCUCAAAUAUUGAUUUGUUUAAUAGUCUACUCAUUGAUCAAGGAAAUUCGGAUUAGACGAUGAAGAGGAUGACACAAUACAUGCCUUGAGUUUGAUCUAUAAUAUAAGGUUAAAGGGAUUAUAUUACAUUGUACAUUAUUCACAAAAGGUUUAAUUGAAUCACCAAUUAUUAUUAUUACUUGGGUAGCAAUGAUGUAUUACUAGAUGCCGCUCAUUGUUUAUAAUUUUAUUAUUGGAUAUUAAAAUUAUUGCCAACGUAAUAAUAACCUAAAGGGUCACACACUUAGAACAUUUAAAGGAGUUUUAAUUUAAAUUCUGAAUUUAAAUUAAAUGGUUAAGUUCGAAAUAAAUUAUUUAAUUGAGCCGGUCUUAAUUAAGUAAUUAGAAUUUCGAAUUUAAUAUUAAAACCAAAAUCGGAUUAGGUUUGGAGAAGCCCAAAUCCGAUUAGGGUUUGGCCCAUCUAUCUCUCUUCCCUAUAAAUACAUAAUGAUGUAUUGUUUUAGGGUUAAGUAACAUAAAAUUCGUUUUAUUAUAAAACCCUAGCAGCUCUACAUCAAGAGAGGCUAGAGAGAGAGAGAGAGGCUGCAUUCGGCUAGUACCGGCUCCGGUGAUCUUUGGCGAUCAGACGUUCGUGUGGACUGCUUAGAGACGCGAUCCUUAGACGAGGGCUGCGUGGUGAUUGCUUGUUCCGGACCUCCAUCUUUCGCUAACGUAAAGUUUCAACAAGGUAUUAUUUCGUAUCUCCAUGAUCAGCCGUUCUUUAUAGAUGGAUCCUCGGGUUAGGGUUUCGGAUUUUUUUUUUAUUUUACGUCGAUUAUCCGCUGCGUUUGUUGCCCCGAAACCCAACAGAUAUUACUAGUUGGGUUAGUUUUGUUUUUGGGCCUCAUAAAAGGGCUUUAAAUGUAUCCAAGUCCAAAUCCAUGUAAAGUCUAGUUAGUUAUAUAUCUACCCAUCUAAUUUGAGAAUAGAUACAAGAUUCAAGUCAAAAAACUUACACGCCACUUUAAAGUUUGAAUCUACCAUUGUUUUACACUCUUCUAAGUGGAUCCAAAUCCAUUUACAUGUCUUCACCCCCCCCCCCCCCCCCGGAAGGUAUAUCUUCUAGCUUUAAUGUGAUUGCUUAAUUUAUGUUUUAUUUCAAGUUCUUGUUUUAGUUUUGUUGAAAAUAACUGUUAGUUUUAGGGCUUUUUUUGUUGUUUCUGUUAGAUCGGUAAAAAAAGGCAACCAAUUCAAGAUUGUAAUCUAGGACUGAGAAUUUGGUGUUGAAUGCAAUAUAGAGUAAUUUGUACUUUUGGUGAUAUAUUAUUAUAUAUGAUUGUCUUAAAUCUUGUUUAAGGAAUGUAUCAGUUUAAGGAGAUAAUUAGUAUACAAAGUGGGAACUCAGUAAGAACAAUGUUGAGAUUAAAGUGGUGAUGUUCGAAUGUUGCGGAUGAUAUAUUGGGUUCUUUUAAGAGGUGUCUUAGGAAUGUUAAGUUUUAAAAAAAUAGGUGUCUUGAAAGAUUCAAGUCAGGAAACUUAUAGCCACUUUGAAGUUUGAGUCUAUCAUUGUUUUACACUCUUCUAAAUGGAUCCGAAUCCAUUUCCAUAUCUUCACCCCCCAUGGAGAGUAUAUCUUCUUGCUUUAAUGUGAUUGCUUAAUUUAUGUUUUAUUUCAAGUUCUGUUUUACUCUUGUUGAAAAUAACUGUUAGUUUUAGGGCUUUUUUGUCACAUCUGAGUUAUUUUGCAUGUGGCUUAUUACUAAAACGUAGUCGUUUCUAUAGCAUGGUUUUGUAGCUGUCUUUUGUGGGUUUGUUAGAACCGUUAUCUUGUAGUUUUCUGAUGAUUGACACGUGUCAGAAGCCACCAGUAUAUGGUGGUCUAUAUGUAGUAUGGCCAGCCAACAUUUCCAAGUUAUGAAAAGAAUCAUGUUUUUAUCUUAUUAGCUUUUCUCUUUCUGUUUUCCUUUCUCUCCAAGCAAAUACUUUUCUUCUUGUUACAUUUUUGUUGUUGUUUCUGUUGCAUCGGUAAAAAAAAGCAACCAAUUCAAGAUUGUUAUCUAGUACUGAGAAUUUGGUGUUGAAUGCAAUAUAAAGUAAUUUGUACUUUUGGUGAUAUAUGAUUAUAUAUGAUUGUCUUAAAUCCCGUUUAAGGAAUGUAUUAGUUUCAGGAGAUAAUUAGUAUACAAAGUGGGAACUCAGUAAGAACAAUGUUGAGGUUAAAGUGGUGAUGUUAGAAUAUUGCAGAUAAUAUAUUGGGUUCUAUUAAGAGGUGUCUUGGGAAUGUUAAAUUUUAAAGAAAUAUGUAGAAUAUGUUCAUCCAGUGGAUGGUAAAAAAGAAAAAAGAAGAAAAAGGGUUCAAAGUUAGUUAAGUGGUCUCAGUAAGAUUUUUUUGUCAUUGUGUAGGUAUGGAUGAUAUCGAUCUUCAGUAGUUUUUUGGGCUGAUUGUGGCUGAUAUCUGCGUGUACCUUUGUUGAAUGGUUUUUCGGACGUCGUUCCAAGUGGUGUAUGUAAUGUCUACAAUGCCACUCUAUCCAGUUUUCCUAUUAGGACGGUCUCCAUUGUAAUGAUGUCUUCGGUUGAAGAUGUUAGUUCACUCAUAAUUAGGAUGGAGCAGCUGCCUAAUAUCAUUGGAAAGAAGCAUGUUCUUCAGAUUCGAUAUACUACAUGAUGUCAUGAUUAUGUAGAUCCUGGUGAACAUUUUCCAUGUCUUAUAACUGAUAAGGUACCUGGGGAAACAAUUGGUCAAUUUUUGGCUAGAGGCACUACUCUUACAAUGAGAAAAAGUUUUUUCAGGUAAAUUUUAUUUUAUGAUGAAUUGUUUUAUGAUUUUUUAUGUAUUGAUGUGUAAUUUUUUGUGUUUUUCACGACAUUGUGGUCUUCACUGAGUAAGUUACAUGAAGCUAAUAGUCCCUUUGGGAACCUUGUUGAUGGAGUAAGAGUUUCGCACAAUGCUCCCAAAUUUGCUUUUCCUGCUAAUAUUAGAGACCGAUAGCAAACAAAUAUCGCGAAGGAAAGAUGAAAAUGACUUUGAAAGAGAGUCAAAGAGUGCUUGAAAUUGUCGGGAGGGAAGCGGAUGGGGAUCAGCGAUGCGCCCCGGUCGGAUGUGGAACGGUGUAAAGCCGGUCUGCCGAUCGACUCGGGGUGUGGACCUGUGCGGAUUGGAAAAACUUCGGUAACCCCAGAAUCAAGCAUUCUAAGUGCUGCAGUGACUUUUUGUAUUGAAGAUAAACCAAGCAGUCCAACAUUAUCUCUUCUCUAGACAAAAUAUGGUUCAUAUAACUCAACCUCCUAUAAAAUCCUAGAAAUAAUGUACGACUCAUUUCAAAUCUCCUUCCAAGUAGAUUAGAGGGAUACACCGGAUUCUCUACGAGAUGAUCACGAAAUAGACGUUCAUUUCCCAAAUUAUGAUGGCGUAGAAUAAACUUACGGCGUGGCCUAUUUUCAUUGUAAUUUGAUGACUAUUCGGAGGUCUUCUCAUUUUCAUCAUCAUUGACAUCUUCAGAUGGAGAGUAUAUGCUAGUAUAUUACGAAAUAAUGAGCGAAUCAUUUAUCAUUUAAAAGUAAGAUGAAGGAAGUUUUGUAUCUUGAAGAAAGAACUACGUGUAUAUGAAGAAUAUGACCGUUACAGAACUAGCAACUCUAAAAUGCUACUGAGAAUGACUGUUACAAAUGUGGUUGAAAGCAAGUUGAACAAACAAUUAAAAACAAGAUAAUGAUGGGGAGGGGGAGGGGAAUGUAGGCAUUUUUUUAUGAUAAAUAAUUUAAGGAUAAUUUUGGGGUAUUAAUUAUAAUAAUAAUAUAGGGAUAAGGACUGAGUUCCAAUUGUGGAUGCUCUUAGAAAUCGAUGCUAAGAUUUCACAAAUACGCGGUGGCGUUGGUAUUCCAUGUGCAUUUGUGCUAUUCUCCUCUCUAAAUUCUAUUGUCUAAACUUUUAUCAUAAAGUUAAAAAAUUAUUGCAGAAUUUUUUUAAGUCUCUACCUUUUAAUUAAUGUUGGUUAUAGUUUUUAAUAGGGUGAAUUAUCAAUUAGGGCACUUGCUUCGCUCGAAUAUAUCAAGUGGACCAUUGACAAAUUUUUGGUCUCGUUUACAUCAGUAAUUUAAAAUAAAGUUACAUUUUAUAAAUUUUAAAUUAUUUAUAAAUGUAAGAAGUUGACUAUUGAAAUUUUUCUGAAUAAGUAUAUCACGUCUUUCUUAAUACUUCAAUUUUUUUGUAACCCAACAUGUACUCUUUUUCCUUUUUCAAUUGAAUGUAACCUCUAUUUGUGUAAAUUUCUUUAAUCUAAUUUUUACUUUUUUAUUAUUUACCAUCGCAUUGACGUGUUUAUAAGUUCACAUCAAAUCUCAAUCACAUUCAGGUCAUAUAAUUUAAUGAAAAACGUAUAUUAUGAGCUAAAUUCGUAAAAUUUUAUUAAGAUAUAUUUUAAUUUGAAAUGAGUGGUGCAAAUGAGACCAAAUAUCUAUCGGUGACCCACUUGAUACAUUGAAAUGAAGCAAGUGGCUUAACUGAUGAUUAACCCAUUUUAAUCAUAAAUGACAGAAAUCUCAAAAACUUGAUAUGUGUGUGUGUACUAGCUUAUAACCCGUGCAAAGCACGGGCGGAUAUAAUAUUUGGUAUUUUACUGUAUAUAUUUUAAAUUUAAUUAAUUUUAUUUAAUAAAAUUAUGAUAGAAUAAUGUGGUUAAAUAAUUUUUUAAUUUAACAGCUGAAUGAAUUCUUAAUAGUUUUUUUUUUGACAGAAUGAAUUUUAAAUAGUUAGGCCCGUUAAAUGACUAAUUAAAAAUUAGUUCGAACAUUUAUAUAUUAAUGAAAAUGUUAAAAAUUAAUAAUUUAAUACUGAACAUAUUAUAAGUUAAAGAGACACGUAAACCCAAAUACCGACACAUCAUACUCACCUAAUUUUUAAUGGUUUGGUUAAAUAGAUAAUGAAAAUUAUAUCAUAACAUGUUAUAAAUUAAGGAGGUCUGUGGGUCGAAUAUACAGUAUAGUAUAGAUUUAUAAUAUUACUUUUAAACUGAGACCAUUAGAGUAUUUAAAUUUAACGCUAAUGAAUUUUAGUGGAAAAGUAUCACCGGUUUAUUAUUAUUUUUAUAUAAAAAUAUUAUAUUUUUAUAAAUAUGUCCCCCGCCCUGUUCAAAAACUCGGUGAUUAAUAACGAUUAAUCAUCGAUUAAUCCUUAUUCCGUAACUCGCCGAACUGAUUGAAUAUCUGAUUAUUCUAUUAAUCAUUCUAUUAAUCCCCGAUCAAUAGAAUUGAUUCUCGAUUAAUCCAUGUUCAGUGUGUUUACUGAUUAAAUCUGAUUUCCGCUUUUUACAACACUGGUCACCCGUGUUAAUUGUAGAAGAUCGGUUUCUUUAGUUUGAAAAUCUAAAAGAUAUAAUGUGUUUUAGUUAUAAAGGUAAUUACUAUGUUGCUUGAUUUUAUUUCAGAAGAUUGAGUUUUUUAGUAUAAAACAUAAAAGAGAUAAUAUAUUUUAGUUAAAAAGAAUAAUUAGUUAUUUAGAUAGGCACGUAUUUAGGCCCAAUACCGACCGAUCAAACUUCUAAUUUCCGACUUAAAUAGUAUAGUAUAGAUAAUAAUAAUAUUUUUUUUACAUGUAUGUUGCAUGUGUUAUUUUUAGAAAAUCGGUUUUUCAGUUAAAUAUCUGAAAAAGAUAACGUGUUUUAGUUAAAAAGGGUCGUUGCUAUGUUGUAUAAUAUUAUUUUUAGAAUUUUGAGUUUUUUUAGUUAGAAAAUAUAAAAAAGAUAAUUGUUUUAGUUAAAAAGGAUAAUUGAUUAUAUAAAAAGGCUCAUAAUUCGGCCCAAGUACCGACCGACCAAACUUUAAAUGUCUCGGCUUUAAUAGUAUUCUGUUUUUUAGUUAGAAAUCUGAAAAAGAUAAUGUGUUUUAGUUAAAAAAGAUAGUUGCUAUGUUGUCCAAUGUUAUUUUUCAAAUUUUGAAUUUUUUAAAUUCAUGAUUUUCUACUAUGAUUCUUCAGUGGACGAUGAGUUUAGUAUCUUGCAAUAACAUUAAUGAUGACUUGUUCCUUUGUUCUGCAUAUUGACCUAAUUGUUCUUCUUGAUUAAUCAUUUGCAGAACACCCAGAAGAUGUAAGCAAGAUAAUAGGCGAGAAAUAUAUCGGAAGUUACAAGAACCACCACGGCAAAUAACAAAAUUGCCGGACAAUUUAUAGAUAUACACAGUGAUAGACUUGUGAUUACCAGAUCGGAGAAACUAUCAUCCAGAAUUGAAGUUACUCCCUUAACUAACUUUUAACUCACCCAUGAUGCUGAACAAAGAAAAUGUCUUUUGUUUUAAAAAGGAUUCAUUUUAUGCAGAACAAAGAAAACACAAAAAAUUUUUACAAAACCAUAUCUGUAAUCUCGAUUUGAAGAAAUUAAUGACAUGUAAUUAUGAUGUAUAAGGAUAGAGAGAGAUGCAAGUGAAGGACUAAAAUUAAUUUGUAUCUUGAACUGAUUUGUGUGUAUUUAUUUUUACAUUAAGAAUAAAAUGAUGUAGUUUAACCUGAUACAACUAUUAUUCUUAUAUGAGGUUAAUCUGAUAUUCCUUUUUCUCAAUUAUAAAUAUAUGUAAAAUAUUGUCGAUUCUCACUGAGUGUCACCGUUGUAUAAAAAAGUAGUGCAACCCAUGAGGUCGAGUACUUUAUGUAACCUCUAAAAAUAAGAAAUUUCGCCUUUACGAUCAAAUUAAAAUAAUAUAUCUUAUUCACAUAAAAUUUAAAAUAAUAAAAGGGAUAACACUUCCAACAUAUAAACAACUGUAACAGAUAGGCUUUUUAAAGCAGACUAUCUUUAGACAAUAAAUUAUAUAUGUUAUUGUUAUGAUACAAAUAACUGGUAGAAUAUAUUUUCACAGCUAGAGUAUGUCUUUGUAGUUUCAUAAAUAACUGUCACGUAAUAAGUGUAUACUUGGAAGAAGUUCAUUCAUUUGGUCAAGUCUUAAGAUGUACAAGAGUAUGACAACAAAUAUAAAUGGAGAGUUACCGUUAAUCUUUGAUAGUAAGACUACAGAAGACAGUUAGUUGCAGUCACGACAGAUUGUUUUAUCUGACAACAACAUUAACGGAAGCUGUGAAGACAACAAGUAGGGAUGGGCAUCGGGUCACUUCGGGUCGGGGAUCGCUAUAACCGGCCCCGAUCCCCGAAUCCUAACCCAAUCCCCAUCCCCGGCCCGAUCCCCAUCGGGGAUUAUUUUUCGAUCCCCAUCCCCGGCCCGAUCUGGAUUCGGGGAUACCCGCGGUGAUUUGGGGAUUUUUAAUUUAAACCAAAAUUUCUAAUUAAAUAUCUAAAUUCAUAAUUAUGAUUAGUUUUUAAUAUGUCUUAUUGAUACCUCAUUAUUUUAUUUAUCUUCAACGAUUUAAUUACGACCUUUUUAAUUUUAAGACUUAUAUUAAUAGAAUUAAAUAUUAAAAUUUAUUUCAAUAAGUUUAAUUAUAUUAAAUAUAUAAUUAUAAUAUAUAUAUAUAUAUAUAUAAUAAAUAAACAGGUGAUGAUUAAAGUUGAACCUAAAGAGGUAUAUAAUCAUAUUAAUAAAUUAAUAAAUAAUUAUAAUAUAUAUACUUAUAAUAUAAUAAUCGGGUCGGGGAUCGGGCUGACAAUCGGGGAAAAUCGGGUCGGGGAUCGGGCCGGGGGAAUGUGAAAAGCCGUACCCGGCCCGAUCCCCGACCCGUACCCGAAAAAAUCCCCGAAUCCCCACACCAUUCGGUGCGGGGAUCGGGUCGGGAUUAAUGCCCAUCCCUAACAACAAGUUCAUUCUAUUCUGAAAGCAAGGUUUAGAUGGUCCGACAAUAACAUUUGCAAGGAAAUACUGUCACAAGUCAAUUCUACGACUGCAAACCUUGGCACUUUAGAUACACUGUCUUCAAAUAUUUCCCCCCUUACAAAUUAAGAAAUAUAAAAUAUGAAAAAUAUGAUAUAAAAUUGAAAUUAAUAUCAAAAAAUUUAUAGUUUGAUACUAAAAAAUAUCUAUUAUUUAUACUACCGAUUUACAAUAUAAAACAAUAUUGUAAAAGCUACAUUUGUAAGAAAAUCCUCAAAAAAUAUCAUAUUCACAUACGCACUCUCAUGAUCAUGAAAAAUAUAUCGGAUUAGUUGACUCGACUUGAAAUUAUCAAGACAUUCACAAUUGUUUAGUCAAAAAUCAUAAAAAAAAAUUAUCGAACUUUUUAUUCUACUUUCCAUUGUUUACGGCAGAAAUGUCUCCUUUCUCAGAUUGACUGUGAUCCUAUUUCCAAUACACGUAUUUUAAUUUGAAUUAGUUAUGAUUGGUAUAAGUAACUAUUAUUAUUGUACAAAUUUUCGUGUUUUCAUCAACAAUUAAUAUGAUUUUUUUUUCAUAAGACUUUCACUUCAGUGAAUUGUACCGAAAUACAAUACCGAAAGGAUCGGAGAGCAUCUUUCAUACAUGAAACUUUCAUCUAAUCAAAGGAAAUGUUGAAAAGCCCCACCAAAAUUAGAUAAAUAUUUUGAUGUCCGAAAAAAAACACUCGAAAGAAAAGCGAAAUCCGCGGAACAGAGGAAAGGAAAACUUUCAUUCAAAAAAGUCUACCGACUAACCAAAGGUCAUGCAGAGAUGACCCCGGAAAUUUAGCCAAUAAAACUUCAAUGACUGAAAUGAAAACCCCGAUGAAAACAAAAGUCCUCAAAUAUAAAAAAUUAUAGAGGGCGAAAAAAGGAAGAAAGAAAGGAAGAAUCAAGCAUGAAAGAUUAUACUAGGCACUGAAACAAAGACAUCUAAAAUGACACAAUCGUUAAUAAAUGACAAAUAUAAUACGAUCAAAAAGCCAUCAACUAUGGCACUCCCUCGAUAGGGGCACAAAUUAAAACUAAAGAUAAAACAAGCCUUAUAAAUCUAGUUAUAAACGAAUCAUAUAUAAGACAAAUAUAUUAAAAUGCACUAAAACAAAAGAUUUUGAACUCAUACCAUUAUCGUGGGGUCAAUUCACACAUCCUUAACUUAUCGAAAAUAAAUAUAUGUAAUCAUCAGCUAUGGUUAAAAUUUAAUCAAAGUCGCUUGGCUCAUCAUUGACUGAUCUCAAUUGAUUUAUCCCCAAAUCAAAAUUUUAAAAAUCGAGUAGACCUGAGAUCUUGAAAUCUUGGAACAGAGCCGGUGGGAGGUCUUAUUGAGAAAACAAGAACAAAUCAAAAGAAAUAAACUAAUUCGGAGCUUUUCAUCGGUAAAAAUCGAUGAAAUUUCCGACGUGACCGGGAAAAAAAGAAGGAGAGGAGGCUAACAAUUAAUAUGAUUUAGUUAUGCUGUAAUUCAUUAUCAUAGAAAAUUUAAAACAUCAAGAAUAUCAAAUAAAUAAUAAAAUCUAUACUAUACUAUAAAAAGCCAACAUAGGUAUAAUUUGUAGUCGUACAAAAUUUUGGUUUGGUACUCUCCUCUAAAACUAAAAGUCUACAACAUGUAGAUAGCUAUUAAACAAUUUCAUAUACUAAAAAUACUCCUUAUGUAUAUUAAUAUCUUUUUAAAUAUAAUUUAUAAUUAGUUGAAAAAGAUGAAACUACUGUUUAUAACAUAUAUUAAUAUUAAAAAAAAAUUAUAGAUAAAUGUAUAACUAAUUAUAAAUAUACAAUUUUGAAUAUCUUUUGUCUAAAAUACAUGUAAAUAAUUAGAGACGCUAUUUUUUAAUUAUAACAUAUUCUACUCGAAAUUUAACUCUAACGUGUUCUAUUUCAUUACAAACACGAACCAUUACGUAACAUAUGAAGAUAUAUGAAAUAUGAAAAUUUUGAUUUAAAAUUAAUUGAAUAAUAAACUAUCACAUAUUAAUAUCAGAAAAAUAAUUAUAGAUUGAUAAUAAAUUGUGAAAGCUAAAUUUCCGUUAGAAGAUAUAAUCAAUUGGUUAAUAUAAUUUAACUAAAAUCCAAAUUAUUAAUACUAAAAUACUAAUAAAAUGGUGUUAAGAUUUAAAUUAUAAUUAAUAAAUUACGAGUUAUAUAAGCGCCCGUGCUUUGCACGGGUUAAAGGCUAGUAAUAUUAAAAAAUAAAUUAGAGAUCACAAAUUUUAAAUUAUAUAAUCAUCCAUACUUCUCGUCUAAAGGGCCGGUGACAAUAACUUUAACAAAUUAGUCUGCAAGGUUUGACAGGAGAAAAAGGAUAUAGCAAUAGAAGGAUCUAGAAACCCUAAUCCUGUUAUAUAGUCUCCGCUUCUCCUCUCCGCCUCCUGAUUCAACCAAGUCACUUUCUUUCUUGUUGUAAUCUCAAACCCUAGAUCUUCAAUCAACUUGUAUCUCUCUCUCUCUCUCUCUCUAAUGGCGGACACUGAGACAUUUGCUUUUCAAGCCGAGAUUAAUCAGCUUCUGAGCUUGAUUAUCAACACUUUUUACAGCAACAAGGAGAUCUUUCUUCGUGAGCUCAUCAGUAACGCUUCUGAUGUAAGUCUUACAUAUUUCUUUUUUUUUAUACUUCUUGUCUUCUUUGUUUCUUGUUGUAUUAGAUUGGUUUUUUUUUUUUUUGUAAUUUAAAUUGAUUCUUAAUAUUAUGUAAUUAGGUUGUUUUGCAUUUAAUUAGAGUUAAGACUUCAUGUGUUCUAGUACUCUUUGGAAUGUUAAUGUUUAAUGUAAUUCAACAUUUUUCUUAGAUAUGUUAAAGUUUAAAUAAUAAGCUGGCUAUUGAUGUGUUAAAAUUUGAAUUUUAAGCUGGUUAUUAUGUGGCAAGGGGUUCAACUUUUGCUCACCCUUGUGAAUUACUUGAGAACAGAUGAUAAAUUCGGAGGCUGUAAGUCAACUUGUUCAUAAAAAAUAAUCACUUUAGUGAUUGCUUAAUACCUGGUCUGCCAAUUGACCUCCUUAGAGCAUGUCCAACAAUAUUCUACUAAGUGUCUUGUAAAUUUAUUUAUAAAAUAUAGUGGCCUUGUGAUUUAAGAUACCAUUUUGAUGUACGAACUUCAACAACUCUUAUAAUUGUGCCCUAUUAUAAAAAUAAAAAUAUAUUUGAAUUACCAUUGGAGGGAAGUGAAUAGAUGAGAGGAGUGAGAUGUCUUAAAAUUGAGGGAAUCUAAUUUUUUAUUGAUAAUAAUGGCUUAGGACAUGCAUAGUAUUGCCUUCAAAACAAGAUACAAUGUCCUAAUGUUUUGAGGCACCACUAAGACAUUGUUUUAGCAUUCACUCGGAUGAGGUGACAUUACGAUGACUAUCUUACAAAUUUUUUCAAACUGAAAAGUUGUUUGAUUGAGAUCUUCUUUACAUACAUUAAUGAAUGCUUGUACCCUGAUGUACCAAUUUGGUGAAUUGGCCAUGGACAUUUAAGGCGACGUAUUUAGUUGUGAUGAGGUGAUACUAGCAUGAGCUCUAUCAUACAUAUUGUCGGACUUGGCUAAUAAUGUUUUGCUUCUGUGCAGGCUCUAGAUAAAAUUCGCUUUGAAAGCUUGACUGACAAGACAAAGCUCGAUGCCCAGCCAGAGCUCUUUAUCCACAUCAUUCCGGACAAGGCCAGCAAUACCCUGACACUAAUUGAUAGUGGCAUUGGCAUGACCAAAGCUGGUGAGUAACAGUGGUUUAUAGAUUUAUCAAUGCUCAUGUAUAUGUAUCUGUCUGGCCUCACUCAUUAUCUUAUAUUUUAAUUUCAGAUUUGGUAAACAACUUGGGUACCAUUGCAAGGUCUGGUACUAAAGAAUUCAUGGAAGCUCUUGCUGCGGGUGCUGAUGUUAGCAUGAUUGGACAGUUUGGUGUUGGUUUCUAUUCUGCCUACCUUGUUGCGGAGAAGGUGAUCGUAACCACUAAGCAUAACGAUGAUGAACAGUAUGUUUGGGAAUCCCAAGCUGGUGGAUCUUUCACUGUUACAAGAGAUACUUCUGGAGAGGUACUUGGAAGGGGUACAAAAAUCGUUCUCCAUCUUAAAGAGGACCAGCUAGAAUACCUUGAGGAGCGCAGGCUCAAGGAUCUUGUGAAGAAGCAUUCUGAGUUCAUCAGCUACCCAAUCUCUUUGUGGAUUGAGAAGACCACCGAAAAAGAAAUUUCAGAUGACGAGGAUGAGGAAGAGAAGAAAGACGAGGAAGGCAAGGUAGAGGAAGUUGAUGAAGAGAAGGAGAAGGAAGAGAAGAAAAAGAAGAAGAUUAAAGAAGUGUCUCAUGAGUGGUCCUUGGUUAACAAACAGAAGCCCAUCUGGAUGAGGAAGCCUGAGGAGAUCACCAAGGAGGAGUAUGCUGCCUUCUACAAGAGCCUUACUAAUGACUGGGAGGAGCACUUGAACGUAAAGCACUUCUCUGUUGAAGGCCAGCUUGAAUUUAAAGCUGUUCUAUUUGUUCCUAAGAGGGCACCCUUUGAUCUCUUUGACACGAAGAAGAAGCAGAACAACAUUAAGCUGUAUGUCCGUCGUGUUUUCAUCAUGGACAACUGUGAGGAUUUGAUCCCAGAAUACCUGAGCUUCGUUAAGGGUAUUGUUGAUUCCGAGGAUCUCCCCCUUAACAUUUCUAGGGAGAUGCUGCAGCAGAACAAAAUUCUUAAGGUCAUCCGAAAGAACUUGGUGAAGAAGUGCCUUGAACUCUUCUUUGAGAUUGCAGAGAACAAGGAGGAUUACAACAAAUUUUAUGAAGCUUUUUCAAAGAACCUGAAGCUUGGUAUUCAUGAAGAUUCUCAGAACAAAACAAAGAUUGCUGAGUUGCUCAGAUACCACUCUACUAAGAGUGGGGAGGAAAUGACCAGCCUGAAGGACUAUGUCACCAGGAUGAAAGAGAACCAGAGUGAGAUCUUUUACAUUACCGGGGAGAGCAAGAAGGCUGUUGAGAACUCUCCCUUCCUUGAGAGGUUGAAGAAGAAAGGUUAUGAAGUGUUGUACAUGGUUGAUGCCAUUGAUGAGUAUGCCGUGGGUCAGUUGAAGGAAUUUGAGGGAAAGAAGUUGGUUUCUGCAACCAAGGAGGGGCUUAAACUCGAGGAGAGUGAAGAUGAGAAAAAGAAAAAGGAGGAACUGAAGGAGAAGUUUGAGGGACUCUGCAAAGUUGUUAAAGAUGUUUUGGGGGACAGAGUUGAGAAGGUUAUUGUUUCUGAUCGUGUAGUGGAUUCACCAUGUUGCUUGGUUACUGGUGAGUAUGGCUGGACUGCUAACAUGGAGAGGAUCAUGAAGGCCCAGGCAUAGAGCGAUUCAAGCAUGAGUGGUUAUAUGUCAAGCAAAAAGACGAUGGAAAUCAUCCCUGAGAAUGCUAUAAUGGAGGAGCUCAGAAAGAGGGCUGAGGCUGACAAGAACCACAAGCCUGUUAAAGACUUGGUUCUCUUGCUCUUUGAGACAGCUCUCCUUACCUCUGGGUUCAGCCUUGAGGAGCCCAACACCUUUGGCAACAGGAUCCACAGAAUGUUGAAGCUUGGUUUGAGCAUUGAUGAUGAUGAUGAAGCGGUUGAGGCUGAAGACAUGCCUUCACUGGAAGAAGCUGAUGCUGAUGCAGAGGGUAGCAAGAUGGAAGAAGUGGAUUAAAUGUGUUCUCUUCUACUGCUUGCCAAUCCAGUAUUGCUUCUACUUUCUUUUAUAAUAUUAUUGCUUACUAAGUUUUAGUUCGUUAUGGGACUUGGAGAAACUGAGAAUGUUAGGAAGAUUAUGUGAUUUCGGGUUUAUAUAAUCCAGACUUGUAGUUAUUUGUUCUUCGAGUCCUGAUGCCCUGGUUAUCUAGUUUCAAGAUGCCUAAAUCACUGUGUUUCAUGGAAAUAUCAAAUGCCUUUUUGGAGUGCCACACAAAAUCUCUCUUUCCAGUUUCCAAUGCUCAACUGAUUAUCUGUAGGUUAUAGAGUACUUGUUUUUUUUUGUGUGGAUAUGUUAGACUACUACCAUUGCUGAUAACCUUGUUAGGUGGUGUUAUAGAUGCUGCUGUUGUGAUUUCUAACCACCCGCCCAAAAUUUUAGCAUUGCUAACAGAAAUCCAUAACACAAUAAGCAACUAUCUUGACUGACUAGCCAAGUGACGAUGACACCUUCCUCUAGCAUGAAAACAGAGGGGCGAGCUUUGUUCUUGCUCAUUAUGAAAGAAUGUCUGAUGUUUUGGGUGCUGGAUCGCAACUUGCAAGCAUUAACUCAGCUUGAAAUUAACAUGUAUAUAUCUCUGCAAAACCCUAAUUUAUAAAAUUGAUUAAAGCGCAUCAAACUGUUAACUUUUUAUUUUCUUUCCGAAAUAUGUAAAUUCCAAAUGACCCAAGGACUGGUUUUAGUGGCUUACCCCUCCUAUCUACAAAGUAACGUAGGGGUGUGCAUAAAAUCGAAUUCAAAAGAAACCUGUAAAACCGAUCAAAAACCGAAUCACAUAAAGCUGAUUCAAACUGAAACUGAAAAUUUUAAAACCGAACCGAUUUUAAUAGAUGCGGUUCCGGUUAUAAGUGAAAACCGAACCGGGCCGAUUAUUAAAAAAUAAUAAAUAAUAUUUAUUUAUACAAUAUUAUAAGAAAAAUAUAUAGACUAAAUAAAUUUAUAUUAGUAUGGUUUCAUUAAGUUAAUAAUAAAUAAUAUAAGUAUGAUUGUCAAGAGUGAAUAAAGGACUAUCGUAGCAGAUACGUACACGGAAAUUUCUUGAAAAUAUCACCGGACAAAUAAUAUAAGUAUGAUUGUCAAGAGUGAAUAAAGGACAAAUAAAUAUUUUAGUUAUUAUAAGUAUGGUAUCAUUAAGUUAAUUUAUAUGAUUAGAUUGUUAUUUAUAUUAUAAUUCAUUGUAUACAAUUGAACAUAUCAUGAAUAGUUCAUUGUUCAAGCGAUGGUUUAAAUUUCAAAAUUUCUCCUCUGCCAUUAAUCUAGUUAGCUAAUUUAUUUAUUAAAUUGAAAGUAUAUUUCUUAAUUUAAUUUGUUGCGGUUUUAAAAUCGAAAUCGCACCAAUUAAAACUAAACCAUAGUUUUAAAACCGAAACCGUCGGGUCGGUUACAAUUUUCAAUUUUUAAAGGAUCUUCGGUUUCGGUUUUACCCAAAAACCGAAUCGAACCGAGGUUUGCUCACCCCUAAUGUAAUGUAUUUUAAAAGAGUAGAAACAGUUUUUCGACCUGAUUGUAUGGACAGCUGUACCAAAUCUACAAAUGGUAGCCUGUUUAGAUAAUUUUAUAUUAAAAAUGAUCUAUAAAUUAUUAAAAUAUAAUAAAAAAAAAUUUGACAGAUUAUCUAUUUAAAUGAUGAAAAUUGACAUAUUUAACAAAUAAUAAAGAUAAAUAAAUUUUUUAAAAAUAUAUUCUACUACAUUUUUAAGUUAAAAUCAGUUUUUUGUUUAUUUUUAUUUUAACUUGAAGAGAAUAAGGAUAAAACUUUCGUCAAAAUCGAAAAGUUAGUCAAAAUAAUCUACUUGAAUUUGGUCACGACCAAAUUUGGGGCAGUCGGGACUGAAUCGGAGUUGAUAUAAUGAAAUUCGAUUUUUUGACGAAUUCUCAAAGGGGUUAGUACACAGGAAUUUAAUGAAAAUUUCACCGGGAAGUGUCUUUUCAUAUUUUCGCAUAAAUGGGUCCCUAUGGAUAUAUGAAUUUGGUCAUGACCAUAUUUGGGGCAGUCGGGACUGAAUCGUAGCAGAUAUAAUGAAGUUCGAGUUUUUGACGAAUUCUCAAAUGGGUUAGUACACGGGAAUUUCUUGAAAAUAUCCCUGGGCAGUUUCUUUUGAUAUUUCCACAUAAAUAGGUCCCUAUGGAUAUAUGAAUUUGGUCACGACCAUAUUUGGGGCAGUCGGGACUGAAUCGGAGCAGAUAUAAUGAAGUUCGAGUUUUCGAAGAAUUCUCAAAGGGGUUAGUACACGGGAUUUUCAUGAAAAUUUCACCGGGAAGUUUCUUUUGAUAUUUUCACAUAAAUGGGUCCCUAUGGAUAUAUGAAUUUGGUCACGACCAAGUUUGGGGCAGUCGGGACUGAAUCGGAGCAGAUAUAAUGAAAUUCGAUUUUUUGACGAAUUCUCAAAGGGGUUAGUACACGGGAAUUUCUUGAAAAUAUCCCUGGGAAGUUUCUUUUGAUAUUUCCACAUAAAUAGGUCCCUAUGGAUAUAUGAAUUUGGUCACGACCAUAUUUGGGGCAGUCGAGACUGAAUCGGAGCAGAUAUAAUGAAGUUCGAGUUUUUGACGAAUUCUCAAAGGGGUUAGUACACGGGAAUUUCUUGAAAAUAUCCCUGGGAAGUUUAUUUUGAUAUUUCCACAUAAAUAGGUCCCUAUGGAUAUAUGAAUUUGGUCACGACCAAAUUUGGGGCAGUCGGGACUGAAUCGGAGCAGAUAUAAUGAGACAAAAACUAAGAUUUCGGUGAGCAUCUUUGAAAGUAAAAAUUGAUGGACUUUCAACAUGGACUAUGUCAUAUUUUUCUUUUAAUUAUAAAAAGUGACUUAUAAAAAGAUUACAAUAUUUUGAAGAACAUAAAAUAAGAUAACUGAAAGAAUAUUUUUAUUUAGAUUACUUUUUUAUUUUAAACUUAUGAUGAAUUCAGAAUUCGACGUGNCACAUAAAUANNNNNNNNNNNNNNNNNNNNNNNNNNNNNNNNNNNNNNNNNNNNNNNNNNNNNNNNNNNNNNNNNNNNNNNNNNNNNNNNNNNNNNNNNNNNNNNNNNNNNNNNNNNNNNNNNNNNNNNNNNNNNNNNNNNNNNNNNNNNNNNNNNNNNNNNNNNNNNNNNNNNNNNNNNNNNNNNNNNNNNNNNNNNNNNNNNNNNNNNNNNNNNNNNNNNNNNNNNNNNNNNNNNNNNNNNNNNNNNNNNNNNNNNNNNNNNNNNNNNNNNNNNNNNNNNNNNNNNNNNNNNNNNNNNNNNNNNNNNNNNNNNNNNNNNNNNNNNNNNNNNNNNNNNNNNNNNNNNNNNNNNNNNNNNNNNNNNNNNNNNNNNNNNNNNNNNNNNNNNNNNNNNNNNNNNNNNNNNNNNNNNNNNNNNNNNNNNNNNNNNNNNNNNNNNNNNNNNNNNNNNNNNNNNNNNNNNNNNNNNNNNNNNNNNNNNNNNNNNNNNNNUGCUCCACCCCUAAAGAAAUAAGAGUAUACAAAAUUAAUUUAAAAGUGUGUGAGUUUGCACAAAGCUAAAAAAGUAACUAUACGGCUAAUUAAACUAAAUAUUUCUUAUUUUUAUGAACUUCAUGGUGCCUAACUGACAUCUACUCUAUUUUUGCUAUUUGAGAUCUGGUUUAUUACAAUUACAUGAAAAAUCAUUAAAAGCCUAAAUCAACAAGCUCAGAAAACUAAUGAUAAAAAAUUAAUAUUUUAUAACAAGACAAUAUUAUAACACGCGGUAUCAAAUUAAUAAUCAUCUAAUAUUUUAAAUUAACAAAAAAAAAUUAUAAGACAUUGAAAUACUAUAUAAUUGAUAUGAAAAUUAAAAGGGUAAGCCAAAUCAAACGUGUCGAAAUUUUUCGGGUACAAUUAUAAGGUUAAUAGUUCAAUGGAUGCUUUUAUAAUAAAGUAAGGUAGGGUCUUUUACAUACAAUAUAUGUUUCAAUUAUUAUUUAUACAAGGUGUGUGCAACAUAUGAUAAAAAAGAAUGUGUUGAUGGUAUGUCCAUCAUAUAUCACUUAACUAUUACACAAACGUACGCUCAAAAAAAUAGAAAUAAAUAUAAAACAACGCGGACCACACAUCUUCAUCUAAUCAUGAUUUAGGAUAUCGUAAUUCGCAUAUCAAGAACAAGUUUUCAUAUUGGAUGAAAUAAUUUAAUAAUUUUCAACAAUAAAUUACAGAUCUUUUUAAUGAGGUAUAAUAUAUUUAAAUUCUAAAAGUUUCAGUAUUAAUUUCGAGUAUAAUUUUGAACAUGUAGAUAAUAUGGCAGUGACCUCUAUAUCCUAACGAAUUUGAAUAUAGAAAAAUCAGUUCAAAUGUUGUUUUUGAUCCAUAAUUUUUAACUAUCAAUGCUAUUAGAUUGCAAAUAUUACAUUUCAUAUUUACACAUUAUGUUAAAAAAUAGGACGUAAUAGUUAUGCUCGAAAUAAUAUGAUGACACACGAAUAUUAUUUAAAAUACAACAAAAACUAGAGUCCCGUGCCUCGCACGGAUUUUUAUGCUAGUUAUAUACAAAAGGUCUAUAAUUAGAUGUAACAUAAUAUGUUGAUUUUAUAUUCAAUAUGAUCGCUAAUUCAUUUUCUCUCCCUCCUCCUGGAUACUAUAUAUUAGGGGGCGGGACUAAUCACACAAUUAUAUUCCUAUAAAGUAUAGUUCUCUAGUUUGUAACUUGUUUUGAAGAAUUUUUUUUGUAAACAAAAAUUUAACAUCUAAGUUUUAUUUUAGGAAGAUAAAUUUUAAAAAUAUUUUGCUGAAUUAUAAUUUAUAAAAAUAUUAAAAUACAUGUCGAGCAGUUAGGUAAAAUAUAUAAAAUUAAAUGAGAUAUAAGGAGUAAAAUUUUUGUUUAAAUCGGGACAAUGUCAUUAUUAUAUAAGAAUAUAUAAUUCUUAAAUGAAUAAGUUGUGAAAUCAUAUUAUGUAUUUAACAAUGAUAAAUUAUUUAAAAUAUAAUUAAAAUUGGGUAUUUACCAAAUAUACCUCUUUUUAACAUUUUAAUUGUAAUAAUACAAUCUUCUCCCAAAAAUUGCAUAUUUACUUUCUUUUUAAGAAAAGCUACAAAAUAUUUGCAUAUAUACGACUAUGACUAUGAACUGCUUCCUGGAGUAAAAGAGAGAGAGAAACGAGCGAACUUGUUCUUGCCUCACCCCUUCCCCCUCUCUGGCUCAUUCUGAUCUGUUUCUCUCUCCUUCCUCUCUCUUCUGCCUCCAUCUCUUCCUGCUCUCUCUCUAUCUCUUUCUCCGAUCCAUUGAUUAUGUCGGCCGUACUUUCUCCGAUCACAAAACCCUAGGUACUCAUUGUGAGUACAAUCUUCGUGGUGUUCUUGAUGAUUGUUGGAUUGGUGAUUAUAGUGGAUACAUACAAGAUGAGUUUAAAAGAAGGGAGAAAUGUCGAAAUAGAAGCUCCUAAACGUGGUUGCUGGUGUUGAUUUUGUGUGAAUAUAUUUUGUUUUUUGUUAUCCUUCAUCUCUGUAGGAAGUUUUGGUUAGUGAUGGUUACUUGUGGUUGCAAAACUUGUUGAUUUUGCUUUUGGCCCCGCAGGGGCAUUUAUUUUUCUGCCUUUGCAACUUAUUAUGCAACUUAAUAUAAUUUUAGCAUUUUUUAAAAAAAAAGUUACAUAUGUAGUUGAAAGUAUGGUUGCUCGUAGUUGCAGAUUUGGUUGCAUGUGCAAAAUCGUAUUUUUGCAAGAAAAAAUUGAAUGAUAGUAUUUUUGCAAUUUAUUUUAAAAAAUGAUAGUAUUUUUGCAAAAUUUCUUUUUGACUUGGGUAUUUGUGAAAAAAGCCCAUUAAAAUUUAUAUGUAUUAUUUUGGAUCUUUGCAUAAAUAAUUCAAGGGCUCAUUAAAAAUUUAUUUUUAAAAAAAACAUUUUUUAGAUAUAAAGAUUGACAAAAUAAUAAUAAAGACUUAUUUCACAAAAAAGAAAAUCUCAUAAAAAAAUUUCAAAAAUAAAAUUUUAUUUAAAAGAUACUCGCUCCGUUCCUUUUUAUUAGUCGCUUUAAUUUUUUGCACGUAUUUUGAGGUGCAAUAAAAACGUAUUUCUACACGUUAUUUUCUAAAUUUUCUUUUUUGAAUAAAAAUAUAGAUGUUAAACUUUUAUUCAGAAAAAGAAAAUUUGAAAAUAAUACGUGUAACUAUAUUUUUUUUGGGCUUUUCUCAUAAAUACCCAAGUCUAAAAGAAUUUUUGCGAAAAUACUAUCAUUUUUUAAGACAAAUUGCAAAAAUAAUAUCUUUCAAAAAAAAUUGCAAAAAUACGGUGGUUGCAUAUGCAACCUUAUCUGCAACUAUAGCAACCAUAUACGCAGCCACAAAUGCAAAUUUGAAAAAAUUUAUCAAAAAUUAUAUUAAGUUGCAUAACAAGUUGCAAUCAGUUGCAACAAAAAGAAAAAUGAAUGCCCCUGCGAGGCCAAAAUCAAAAUCAACCACUAUUAUAACUAGAAUCAACCAACACCAACCAAACCUCAAAAACACAAAAGAAAAGUGCGGUGAACAGAGUCGAUGUGGGUUAGGGUUUAGAAAAGGUAUCGCUAGUGGGAGCAAUCAUCAGUCCAAUCGACACCGCAAAUAUAAUUAUCGAUCCAACCAUCAUCAAGAACACCAUAAGUAUGCCUCGGAUUUCACGAUGAACAAUCAUCAGAUCGAUUUUUGGAUGAGAUAGGGAGAAAGGAGGAGAAAAGAGCAGAGGAAGAAAAAUAGAAAGAGAGAGAGCGAGAAGAGAUGUUGGUAGAAGAGAGAGCGGGUGGAGAGAGAGACAAAGAGUAAGAGAGAAGGGAGAGAGAGAGACAGAGAGUAAGAGAGAAGGGAGAAACGGAUAGACAUGGAGCAGAAAGGGUGUGGCUGAGUCUGUAUUUGUGCAAAUGUUUCAAUCAGAGUCUCAAAAAAAACGUACAUUUGCAAUAUUUUAGGUAGGUAGUAAUUUUAUUAAAAUAUUAAAAAGAGGUAUAUUUGGUAAAUACCCUAUUUUUUUUACACUCUCGGCACAAAGUCAAAGCGACGGAGGGAGUGUUUAACCAAACAGACCUUCUAAUUUCUAUGUUUAAAACAAUUUUCCAGAAAUCGCUAGGCGUCCCAGGGCGGUCGGGGUACCUUCUAGCAAUUAAUCGAGAAAUCGGGGAUUAAUCGGAGUAUUAAUCGGACAUAUAUUAUUUUUAAAUUAUUAUAACUAAAUAUAUUUUAAUAAUUUUAUCUACUUUUCACUACUAGUAGAGUCAAACUGGUAAACAAUAUAAUAUCAUAUAUUAAAAAUAAAUACUUGAUACAUGUAAUACAAAAUCAUUGAUUGAAUAAAUAUAUACCAAUCAGUAUCUUAUAAAUAAUGUAAAAAAUAUUAAAUAAAAUUAUUUAUUUUACUUUUUUUAUAGGAUAUUAAGGUACUGUUUGGGGUUGCUGUUGCAGACAGCAACAACAACUUUUUACUGAAAAGCAGGUGAAAAACUGUUUGGUAAAUCGAAAAGCAGCUUUUCCGAACAGCAGUUUUUGACUGAAAAGCUGCUGUUAGAAAAAGCAGGUCCUCCCAUGCUUUUGGAAAAAGCUGCUUUUCAGCUUUUGCAGAAUGCUGUUAUAGAUUUCAUUAUAAAAUCUAACCAAAAACAUUUUUUUUUAUAUUAUAACUCAAAAUAAGUAAAUAUAAAAAAUUACCAAACAGUUAUCUGAUUUCUGCACCAGCACUUAUUUUACCAGCACUUUUUCUGACAGCACAGCAAUUUUUAACAGCACUCCCAAACAGACCCUAAGUUAAGUACAAGUGAAUAUUUAAUUUUUUAUAAUAUAAUCAUAAUUUUAGAUUUUAUUUAUUAAAAAAAAAUUCUUUUGUUAUUGGCCGCCUCGACCGCCUAGGCGGGAUGUGGACCGCCUAGACGGGAUUUUGACCGCCUAGACGGGAUUUUUGUAAAAAACGCCUAAGACCGAAUCGGGGCGUUUCGGUGCCGUCUAGCGUCUAGGCACCCCCUAGGCGGCUGCUAUGCUUAGGGGUGAGCGUGGUUCGGUUCGGGGCGGUUUUAAGGCAAAACCGGAACCGGAACCGGAACCGGAACCGCGAAUCUUCGGUUUUUAAAAUUAAAAACCGAAACCGCAACCGAACCGUCGGAUCGGGUUCGGUUUCAAAAGCCUCGGUUCGGUUUUAGUCGGUUCGGUUUCGGUUAUAAAACCGCAAGAAAUGAGAAAAAGAAAAAAAAUUACGUAUUAAAUCUUUAAAAUUUAUUUUACAACAUUAAAAGUUAUAACUUUGUAUCUUUACGGUAUUAGAUCGAUGAAAGAGUCCAAGGUUGUGAGUUUAUGAUUUUGAUAGUAUGCUUCGUGCUACUCUUUUGGAUAAAAUCUAAGGUAUGUAAAAAAAUCGAACCUAAUUCAAGUAUUCUCCGACCUAUACCAAACUAUAAUCUAAAUUCUAUAUAUCACUUAGUUACGGUUCAUGAUAUAUUAAUAUAAAUAUAUGUAUAUAUUAUCUUAAUACACACGUGUAUAUAUGUACAUAUAUAAAUAUAUUUAUAUAUUUAUAUUUAUAUAUGUAUUAUAAUUUAUAAAUAAUAUUUAUUUAUUUAUUUUAAACAAUCGGUUCGGUUCGGUUUAUUUCGGUUCGGUUUUAAUCUAAAACCGGAACCGCAACCAUUAGAAUCGGUUCGGUUUUUUAAUUUGCGGUUUCGGUUCGGUGCGGUUUUAUACGGUUCGGUUUUCAUCGGUUUUUAACGGUUUCGGUUCGGUUUCGGUUUCAAUUCGGUUUUUUGCUCACCCCUAGCUAUGCUGAUUUUUAGACUACUGGUUUAAAACGAGGUUUUGACGACAGUUUUACUUUUAUACUUUCGUUCAAAAAUUUAUUCAUUGGGACAUUAUUGUCAUUCAUCAAAAAUAAUUCAUAUUCAUAUUUACUCCCUCUGUCCCAUUUAAUUGUAUACGUUUCUUUUCAACUGCUCGACACGCAUUUCAAUACUCUUAUAAAAUAUAGUUCCGUAAUUUAUUUUUGAGAUUUUCUUUUUCUGAAUAAAAAUAUAACAUCCAAACUUUAAUUCAGAAAAAGAAAAUUUUAAAAAUAAAUUACACAACUACACUCUACAGGAGCAUUAAAGUCCGUGCCGCGUCCCCGUCCCCCGAUGUAUACAACUCAGGGGACGGAGGGAGUAACGAAUAAGCCUUCGGGUUUGCGAGGUUUGAAACGAAAAUAAAAGGGGUACAGUAAUAGAAGGAUCUAGAAACCCUAAUCUGGUUAUAUAGUCUCCGCCUCUUGAUUAAUUCAAGUCAGCUUCUUUCUUGUUGUAAUCUCAAACCCUAGAUCUUCAAUCAACUCGUCUCUCUUUCUCUAAUGGCGGACACUGAGACAUUUGCUUUUCAAGCCGAGAUUAAUCAGCUUCUGAGCUUGAUUAUCAACACUUUUUACAGCAACAAGGAGAUCUUUCUUCGUGAACUCAUCAGUAACGCUUCUGAUGUAAGUCUUCUAGUUACAUAUUUCUUUUGCUUAUACUUCUUAUUUUCUUUGUUUCUUGUUGUAUUAGAUUGGUUGUUUUUUUUUAAUUUAAAUCGAUUCUUAAUAUUAUGUGGUUAGGUUGUUUUUCAUUUGAUUAGAAUUAAUAUUCAUGUGUUCUAGUACUCUUUGGAAUUUUAUUGUUUAAUGUAAUUCAACAUUUUGCUUCGAUAUAUUAAAGUUUGAAUAAUAAUCUGGGUAUUAAGAUGUGUUAAAAUUCAAAUCUUAAGCUGGCUAUUAAAUGGCAAGGGUUCAACUCCAUCUCACCCUCGAGAAUUAUUUGAGAAUAUAUACUAAAUUUGGAUGCAGUGAGUCUUGUUGUUAAAUAUAUAAAUCACAGUAUUGAAUGCUUAAUACAUGGAGUGACGAGUUGACCUCCUUACAUCUACAGCUAAUCUGUUUGAGUUGCUCUUACAAAUUUUGGUAAACUAAAAAGUUGUUUGAUUGAGAUCCUCUUCACAUACAUUAAUGAAUGCUUGUAUUCAGUUGUGAUGAGGUCACACUAGCAUGAGCUCUAUGGUACAAAUUGUCGGACUUGGCCAAUAAUGUUUUGCUUCCGUGCAGGCUCUAGAUAAAAUUCGCUUUGAAAGCUUGACGGACAAGACAAAGCUCGAUGCCCAGCCAGAGCUCUUUAUCCACAUCAUUCCAGACAAGGCCAGCAAUACCCUGACACUAAUUGAUAGUGGCAUUGGCAUGACCAAAGCUGGCGAGUGACAGUGUCUUAUAGAUUUAUUAAUGUUCAUGUAUAUGUAUCUGUUUGGCCUCACUCAUUGUCUUAUAUUUUAAUUUCAGAUUUGGUAAACAAUUUGGGUACCAUUGCAAGGUCUGGUACUAAAGAAUUCAUGGAAGCUCUUGCUGCGGGUGCUGAUGUUAGCAUGAUUGGACAGUUUGGUGUUGGUUUCUAUUCUGCCUACCUUGUUGCUGAGAAGGUUAUUGUAACCACUAAGCAUAACGACGAUGAACAGUAUGUUUGGGAAUCCCAAGCUGGUGGAUCUUUCACCGUUACCAGAGAUACUUCUGGAGAGGUUCUUGGAAGGGGUACAAAAAUUGUUCUCCAUCUUAAAGAGGACCAGCUAGAAUACCUUGAGGAGCGCAGGCUCAAGGAUCUUGUGAAGAAGCAUUCUGAGUUCAUCAGCUACCCAAUCUCUUUAUGGAUUGAGAAGACCACCGAAAAAGAAAUUUCAGAUGACGAGGAUGAGGAAGAAAAGAAAGACGAGGAAGGCAAGGUAGAGGAAGUUGAUGAAGAGAAGGAGAAGGAAGAAAAGAAAAAGAAGAAGAUUAAAGAAGUGUCUCAUGAGUGGUCCUUGGUUAACAAACAGAAGCCCAUCUGGAUGAGGAAGCCUGAGGAGAUCACCAAGGAGGAGUAUGCUGCCUUCUACAAGAGCCUUACUAAUGACUGGGAGGAGCACUUGAACGUAAAGCACUUCUCUGUUGAAGGCCAGCUUGAAUUUAAAGCUGUUCUAUUUGUUCCUAAGAGGGCACCCUUUGAUCUCUUUGACACGAAGAAGAAGCAGAACAACAUUAAGCUGUAUGUCCGUCGUGUUUUCAUCAUGGACAACUGUGAGGAUUUGAUCCCAGAAUACCUGAGCUUCGUUAAGGGUAUUGUUGAUUCCGAGGAUCUCCCCCUUAACAUUUCUAGGGAGAUGCUGCAGCAGAACAAAAUUCUUAAGGUCAUUCGCAAGAACUUGGUGAAGAAGUGCCUUGAACUCUUCUUUGAGAUUGCAGAGAACAAAGAAGAUUACAACAAAUUCUAUGAAGCUUUUUCAAAGAACCUUAAGCUUGGCAUUCAUGAAGAUUCCCAGAACAAAACAAAGAUUGCUGAGUUGCUCAGGUACCACUCUACUAAGAGUGGGGAGGAAAUGACCAGCCUGAAGGACUAUGUCACCAGGAUGAAAGAGAACCAGAGUGAGAUCUAUUACAUUACUGGGGAGAGCAAGAAGGCUGUUGAGAACUCUCCUUUCCUUGAGAGGUUGAAGAAGAAAGGUUAUGAAGUGCUGUACAUGGUUGAUGCUAUUGAUGAGUACGCUGUGGGUCAGUUGAAGGAAUUUGAGGGUAAGAAGUUAGUUUCUGCUACCAAAGAGGGGCUUAAACUCGAGGAGAGUGAAGAUGAGAAAAAGAAAAAGGAGGAACUGAAGGAGAAGUUUGAGGGACUCUGCAAGGUUGUUAAAGAUGUUUUGGGGGACAGAGUUGAGAAGGUUAUCGUUUCUGAUCGUGUAGUGGAUUCACCUUGUUGCUUAGUUACUGGUGAGUAUGGCUGGACUGCUAACAUGGAGAGGAUCAUGAAGGCCCAGGCUUUGAGGGAUUCAAGCAUGGGUGGUUAUAUGUCAAGCAAAAAGACAAUGGAAAUUAACCCUGAGAAUGCUAUAAUGGAGGAGCUCAGAAAGAGGGCUGAUGCUGACAAGAACGACAAGUCUGUUAAAGACUUGGUUCUCUUGCUCUUUGAGACAGCUCUCCUUACCUCUGGAUUCAGCCUUGAGGAGCCCAACACCUUUGGCAACAGGAUCCACAGAAUGUUGAAGCUUGGUUUGAGCAUUGAUGAUGAUGAUGAAGUGGUCGAGGCUGAAGACAUGCCUUCACUGGAAGAAGCUGAUGCUGACGCAGAGGGCAGCAAGAUGGAAGAAGUGGAUUAAAUGUUCUCUUCUAGUGCAUGCUAAUC